rnacentral:lncRNA from 10 species
AGGAGGAGGGUGUGACUAUUUAUAUUCCUCAGACUACAGUACAAGAUACAUGAAGAUGACAACCAUAGUUAAUCUGUGGAAGUUACCAUGAUGAUGAAGAGUGGUGUCUUUAUUCCGUAGGUCUUCCCUAUGAGAUGGUUCUAUGAUCAUUUUACAGACCACAAUAUAGUGCCUCCGAGAGGUUAAGCACCUAUCCCAAGGAUAAAGGACUAGUUGUGCCAAGAGCCCUAGAACCUGGGUUCAAAUUCCACCUCCAACACUUACAAGCCAUUGUUGUUUGUUCCUUAAAUUCUCUAGGCCUCAGUUUCUACAUCUUUAAAAUAAGGUUGUUGGCUAUGCUGUGGUUCAUGCCUGUAAUCCCAGCACUUUGGGAGGCUGAGGCAGGUGGAUCACUUGAGGUCAGAAGUUCAAGACCAGCCGGGCCAACAUGGUGAAACCCCGACUCUAUCAAAAAUACAAAAAUUAGCUGGGUGUGGUGGUGCACACCUGUAGUCCCAGCCACUCGGGAGGCUGAGGUGGGAAAAUUGCUUAAACCCAGGAAGCAGAGGUUGCAGUGAGCUGAGAUCAUGCCACUGCACUCCAAUCUGGGUGACAGAGAAAGACUAUGUCAAAAUACAUAAAAUAAAUAAAAUAAAGUUGUUAAUGUUUCCCCGUGCCUACAGUUGUUGUGAGAAUUAAAUAAGAGAGCACAUGCAAAGUGGAGCCAAAUCAUAAACUCGUCGAAAUGACUGGAAUCAAGCCCUGUGUGCCUGGCAACAAAAGAGAGAAAGAAUUUCAUAGUAUGGGCUUUCCUGCUUACUACUGCAGACUAGGAGGGUCGGCCCCAGAGCAAGCAGGAAGUGGGAGAAAAAGCAC